rnacentral:piRNA from 1 species
AGCCUCGUGGGGUGCAAGAGCUGAGUGGC